rnacentral:rRNA from 1 species
AUAUGCGGGGCUUCUUGCUCUGCAAUUGGAAUGAGAACAAUUUAAAUCACUUAACGAGUAUCAAUUGGAGGGCAAGUCUGGUGCCAGCAGCCGCGGUAAUUCCAGCUCCAAUAGCGUAUAUGUAAGUUGUUGCGAUUAAAAAGCCCGUAGCUGAACCUCGGGCAACCCUGACGGUCCGCGUUUCGUGAGUACUGUCGUGGGUUGUCUUUCUGGCAAGACCGUAUCUCGGUGUUAACUCGCCGGGAACGGCGCUUGCCAAGGUUACUUUGAGUAAAAUAGAGUGUUCAAAGCAAGCUCGCGCUCUGAAUACACUAGCAUGGGAUAACACGACAUGACCGAUGGUCUAUCUUGUUGGCCUGUAGACCUGUUGGUAAUGGCUAAUAGGGACGGUCGGGGGCAUUCGUAUUUCGCUGUCAGAGGUGAAAUUCUUGGAUUUGCGAAAGACGAACUACUGCGAAAGCAUUUGCCAAGGACGCUUUCAUUAGUCAAGGAUGAAAGUCGGGGGUCGAAGACGAU